ACCACACCUCAUACACUCGCAAACUCGUGGCUCACCCUCUCCUCUUUUUUCAGUUCAUUUAUCUCUCAUUAUCACAUGCCUAGCCCAGGAGCCUGCCUGUCCCCUUUCUCAAUAGAUGCCAUCUACCAUUAUCUACUAGAAAUGCUGUCAAAUCGAAAUGACGAUAUAGAUCCCAGCUAGUGAAUUAAGAUGAAUAAAAAUAAAGAGUGAUGUUUUCUGAACAAAUUUUUACUUUAAAAGUGUUAUUUCCCAGUGGUACUCCCAACAUUUCUUCCAUUAGAAUGUCUAAAAGCAACACAGCGAUUUCUUUUUUUUUUCCCUUUUUUUCUUUAAGAACUCCAGGUUUUUUGUGCAAAAUGAUUGACGUGGCCUUGAUGGAAAUGAGGGGGUUUUGUGAACUGUGGAAUGAAGCAAGUUUGAAUGAAUACUGUAGUUCACAACAGAGUUGAAAUGCUAUAGUUAAGCUAUGUAGGCUAUUGUGGAUUUGAGUUUCCAAUGGCUUUUUAGAUGCACUAAAUGGAAAAAUGUUUUUUAAUGAGAACCUCGUUAACCUGCUAAUGUUUUUCAAAGUUUGCUCACAAUAGCAAAACCGUUUCACUCUUGAACACUGAACUUCAGCAGAAGAACAUUUAUCAGGUAAUUUCACCAUUUUUAACAUUUGUAUAAUUUGUUUUUCUACAAACAGCGCACAAUGUUCUCCACUGUUCUUCACUUUCAGCCAAGUGAAUCAUCAGAUGAGCUCUCCUUUUUUUUUUUUCAUUUAUUCUCCAAAUAUCUCCCGUACAUGUACAUUUCCUCCCAUUUAUUUAUUUUUUUACUUAAUUUUUUCUUAAUGGAUAUCUAUGGAGAUGGAGUGGAAGAGGUAAUGGAUGGGAAAUCAACUGUGGAUGAACUUUGUUUAAUGCAAGAAUGAAAUGGCCAUAAAAUGUGACAUUUUUGCCGAACACAAAACCAAUUGCCCAUCGUUCCUAUUCACAAUCUUCACAGAAGCAAAUGAGUGGCAAUUAUAAAGUGGUUGGGAGUCAAUUUAGUGAACUGACAUUUUAAACUUAGCUGGGUAAAAAACAAAACAGUCAAAUUAUGUUACAGACCACUCCCUGGCCAAAAACAGCCGCACUCGGCUUGUUUUGGUCAGACGCUUCCCCAAUUCAUUCUUUGGAUAAUACCUGAUAAUGGGAGAUUCAGCUGUAAACUCAGCAGUCCCUGCUAUUACGCAUUCAAUAUUCAGUUUCAUGCCUAAGAAUAAUGUUUGAACUUAAAUUGAUUUUUGCCUUUGGGAUGCUUAAAUAGGCUGCUUUUAGAAGGAUUUCUUUCUGCAAAUGAUUAACAUGUAAAUGUUCAUUUCUCUUUUUCUUGUCUUCCUACAGCAUGCUAAUACAUGAAUAUGUUUGAAUUCAAUAUGUAAUAUAUCUGUCUUUAUUAAUCAUCUGCUGUGGUGGAUUGGUCAGUUCAUCUUAGACUUCUACGGGAAGCACAGACUAACAGAACUAACUACAAAAAAAUACCUGCAUCGAGAGUUUUACUCAGUU
ensembl:lncRNA